GAGUUUGAUCAUGGCUCAGGAUGAACGCUGACAGAAUGCUUAACACAUGCAAGUCUACUUGAUCCUUCGGGUGAAGGUGGCGGACGGGUGAGUAACGCGUAAAGAACUUGCCUUACAGACUGGGACAACAUUUGGAAACGAAUGCUAAUACCGGAUAUUAUGAUUGGGUCGCAUGAUCUGGUUAUGAAAGCUAUAUGCGCUGUGAGAGAGCUUUGCGUCCCAUUAGUUAGUUGGUGAGGUAACGGCUCACCAAGACGAUGAUGGGUAGCCGGCCUGAGAGGGUGAACGGCCACAAGGGGACUGAGACACGGCCCUUACUCCUACGGGAGGCAGCAGUGGGGAAUAUUGGACAAUGGACCAAAAGUCUGAUCCAGCAAUUCUGUGUGCACGAUGAAGUUUUUCGGAAUGUAAAGUGCUUUCAGUUGGGAAGAAGUCAGUGACGGUACCAACAGAAGAAGCGACGGCUAAAUACGUGCCAGCAGCCGCGGUAAUACGUAUGUCGCAAGCGUUAUCCGGAUUUAUUGGGCGUAAAGCGCGUCUAGGCGGCUUAGUAAGUCUGAUGUGAAAAUGCGGGGCUCAACCCCGUAUUGCGUUGGAAACUGCUAAACUAGAGUACUGGAGAGGUAGGCGGAACUACAAGUGUAGAGGUGAAAUUCGUAGAUAUUUGUAGGAAUGCCGAUGGGGAAGCCAGCCUACUGGACAGAUACUGACGCUAAAGCGCGAAAGCGUGGGUAGCAAACAGGAUUAGAUACCCUGGUAGUCCACGCCGUAAACGAUGAUUACUAGGUGUUGGGGGUCGAACCUCAGCGCCCAAGCUAACGCGAUAAGUAAUCCGCCUGGGGAGUACGUACGCAAGUAUGAAACUCAAAGGAAUUGA
rnacentral:rRNA from 1 species